UGGGUCGGUGAGACGGUCGCGUCGAUGCCGCGGCUUCGGUCGCGGGAUCGCCGAGGAACGUCCGGGCUGCGCAGGGGAGAACGGUGGGUAACACCCACCCGGGGCAACCCGCGAGAAAGUGCAACAGAGAGCAGACCAGCCGUCCCGGCUCAGCCGGGCCGGUCCGGGUGAAAGGGUGGUGUAAGAGACCACCGGCGUCCGUGGUGACACGGGCGGCCAGGCAAACCUCGUUCGCAGCAAGGCCAGACAGCAGGUGAUGACGCGCCCCGCCGAGCCUGCGGGUAGGCCGCUAGAGGGUGCCGGCAACGGCACUCCGAGAGAGAUGACCGUCACCGUCCGCUUCGGCGGGCGGGACAGAACCCGGCGUAUGAUCCGGCCCAUUCC
rnacentral:RNase_P_RNA from 1 species